CGGGUGCUCCUUGCUUGGCCACGCCUCUCCCUCGAAAGCCCGCUCCCCGCCUUGCUUUACGCUGUGUGCGCGUGCGCACUCUAUCGCCACUUUUCCCUGUGCGCCUCCAUUGUUCUCUACUCGAGCUUAUUUUGCCGAUCCCGCGAUUUCAGCUGAGCGAACAGCAGCUUGGAUCGCUUGCUUGUUGUGGUGUUUUUGCAUUUCCACAUAUGUGAACCAAAUGUGAAACCUGCACUGAUAAGAAUGCACACUUGGUUUGUUGAAAAUGACUCCCCCUUCUGUUUCCAGUCCCCCUUCUCCCCACUUUGGGUAUCACUCCAUCCCCGGUUUCAUGUCAAAGGCUGUUAAACAGAGCGCAGGAAAGAGAAGGCCCCGUCCUUAGACACACGCCUGCCCUGCUAUGCCCUCUGAAAUGGAAACAGUUGAGCUUUCAAGUUGCAUCAUAUUCUUCUUCGUCCAAGAAGCAAAGAGUGGCUAAAGUCAGCUGAGCUGCAAAGCUAAGAAUAAGAUAAGGCCAAGUGAUAAUAAAAAUGGCAAGAAAUAAUUCCAGUCCCAACAAUUGUCAAGAGGCUAUUACUUUGGUUUAGACUCAGGCAAGCUGAAGAUUUUGGAUUCUCAGUCUGGAUUGUCUUUGGAUUCUCAUGGGUGGCUCUGCCCAUUGCUGCCUCUUCACAAGUCUUACUCAGAGGAAAAAAGUCAGUUUGAAAUUGAUUUUUUAAAAACAAGUUUUUAAAUUGUUCUGUAUUUGUGUGUGUGUGUUGUGAUUGGAUGUGUUUUUAUUGGAUGUUUUAGUGUUGGAUUGUGAGCCCACACCGAGAACAAUUUGUUAUGGAGGCGGCUAAUAAAUAAAGGUAUUUAUUUAUUUAGA